GGACUUGAUCUGUGUGUGUCAUCCAGCAACUAUAGAACAGAGUAGGACUCACUCACACUCCUGCAGUAGUUGCAAAUAAACAAGCAUCAGGUUCUUAUAUGGCCCUUUUUGAUUUAUUUCCAAACAGACCUCUCCUUCUCUCUGCAUGCUGAAAAAUCAUGCAAAUUCUUUCACUCGUCGAGAGAUUUUUAAACAUAAAGUGUGGUAAUGAAACUGGUUUGGAUGUUGAAAAUGUUGGUUUUGUUUUCUUCCUCAAUUUUUUUUUUAAAUCUUUCAGCAACUAACUGUAAAGUUCAGGAAGGCAGUUACAUUUGUUGCUGUAUAAGUUGGAAGUUUUAAGUAAUAUGUGUAAAAAGGCAAAUGUUUUCAAUAAACUGAAGGGUUCCUUUAAUCUAAAUUCGUAUCUGUUUUAUUGCACUCAUUCCUAUUCAGAAUGUUGACUUCCUCAACUGAUUAUUCUAAAAACAACCACCAGGUGGCUUCACAAAGUUAUUUUGUCAUGUAUGGUAUAUAUAUUUUUUUAGAAUCUCUUGCAAAUGUUAAUAAUACAUAACUAGUAACUAAUGCAUAAUGUAAACACAAUUAUAAAAAUACCAUUUAUGAAUUAUUUGGGAAAAGAUGUCAUAGUUACUGGUGGUAGCUAACGAAAUGAUUUUUCUCCUAACCACACACGCCCACUUGCAUGAGUUUCUAAAAGACUCAUUUCCUAAAGCUGGUGUGAAAAAGCAGAAAUGGCUCAUGCAUCAACCUGUCUGACAAACAACUGAGAAUAUAUACACACAUCACAACGGCAAGAGAAAAUGCACCGUAGAGCCACAUUGUCAGGACCCCAGUGGGUACGGAAAUGCGCCAUGUUUGUGAGAGCGAUGAGCCUGGCAGACAUGUCCGGUAAGUGCCGCUCCGCUACGCUAAUGCACUUCACACACAGGAUGGGAUCAACUCUGACUCCAUUUAUAGAGUUAUGAACUGAGCAAGAGGAACAGUAAACUGAUAAAACACUGCAUUAAGAUGAUUCAGAUGCAUUUGACGAAACAGUGUUUGAACCCAUCCUCUUUGCAUGUUGCUUUCUCCUUACAGGGUCUCAUUCACUCACAAUUGUGGGUUUUUUUCUUUUCUACCCUCAUUCUACUGUUGAGAAAUCCAGACUAUUCUAAAUAAGGGAGGGGGUGUCUACAGCAAGAAAUUAACAUAAGUAAUUAGCAUGUCCAUGUAAGGGCCUUCGUACACCCUCUCCUGUACUAACCAUUUGUCAGUCUCUUCAAAUGCUUUUUUUUUUUUUUUUUACGUNCUUGAUUAUUCUAACUUUUGUUACUUUGAAUUUAGACUUAGUAAGUGUCAUUUAGUUACUUUUUUAUUUUUAUAUUAUAUAACUAAGUGACAUCAAAUUUAUAGUCAAAUUUAAUUCAGUAACAUAUUAUAUAAUGCUUCAUUAUAUUAUGUUGUAUUGUUAUAUUAAUUUUAUUAAUGUUGUUCUGUUUAUUGUGAAUUUCAAAUAAUUUCAAAUAAAUGUAAGUGAUAAAAUGAACUUGUAUAUCUG
ensembl:lncRNA